rnacentral:rRNA from 1 species
GAUGAACGCUGGCGGCGUGCCUAACACAUGCAAGUCGAACGGACAAAGAUGAAACUUAGUGAUUCUUUGUUAGUGGCGGACGGGUGAGUAACGCGUGGGUAACCUGCCUCACACUGGGGGAUAACAGUUAGAAAUAGCUGCUAAUACCGCGUAAGCGCACAGAACCGCAUGGUUCCGUGUGAAAAACUCCGGUGGUGUGAGAUGGACCCGCGUCUGAUUAGCUAGUUGGUGAGGUAACGGCCCACCAAGGCGACGAUCAGUAGCCGGCCUGAGAGGGUGACCGGCCACAUUGGGACUGAGACACGGCCCAAACUCCUACGGGAGGCAGCAGUGGGGAAUAUUGCACAAUGGGGGAAACCCUGAUGCAGCGACGCCGCGUGAGUGAAGAAGUAUUUCGGUAUGUAAAGCUCUAUCAGCAGGGAAGAAAAUGACGGUACCUGACUAAGAAGCCCCGGCUAACUACGUGCCAGCAGCCGCAGUAAUAC